AUUGAACGCUGGCGGCAUGCUUUACACAUGCAAGUCGAACGGUAACAGGCCUUCGGGUGCUGACGAGUGGCGAACGGGUGAGUAAUGCAUCGGAACGUGCCCAAUCGUGGGGGAUAACGUAGCGAAAGUUACGCUAAUACCGCAUAAGCCCUGAGGGGGAAAGUGGGGACCGCAAGGCCUCACGCGAAUGGAGCGGCCGAUGUCAGAUUAGCUAGUUGGUGGGGUAAAGGCCCACCAAGGCGACGAUCUGUAGCGGGUCUGAGAGGAUGAUCCGCCACACUGGGACUGAGACACGGCCCAGACUCCUACGGGAGGCAGCAGUGGGGAAUUUUGGACAAUGGGCGCAAGCCUGAUCCAGCCAUGCCGCGUGCGGGACGAAGGCCUGG
rnacentral:rRNA from 1 species